AAAUAAAUAAAUAAAUAAAAAUUCUGUUUCGUUUUUCCUCCACGUCAGAAGCAUGGCGGGACUCGAACUGUUAUAUACUUGCGUGGCGAGCUCUAUAACAACAUCUCAAGAUGCCGUUGUGUGUUUUAUCCACUGGGAAAUUGUCAAGAGUGGGUAUAAAUGUUUAGGAACUGGAGAUGAGCCUCUACAUGGAGAGAAGAAAUCAGAGUUGCUUCCUGCAGCCUGGAACACAAACAAGGAGCUGUACACACUGAGAUACAGAUCAAAUGAUGACAAGUCCAACCUGCUCCUCAAAGCCAUCACAGUUGAUUCCAGCUUGAUAUUCAACUUAAUGGAUUCAGCCACUGACAAAGUCACAGACCUGACUGUUAAUGUUAGUGAUUAUGUAAAUGAAACAAACCUACACUCAUUUGAAAGUGUGUACAAGAACAUAGAAGAUUUGGCUAAGAGGCUGAACUCAUCACUGCUACCUGCAGUGAAACUAGAGGGAAGUGUGAGGAAAGAAACAAGAGAGAAAUUCACAGCCACACAGCCCCAGCCAGACCAUGAUCCCCUUUGUAUACCUACCAGAGGUUCCCCUGCUUUGUAUCCCCCACACUGGACAGACCCACUGAAUCCAUUUUCUGCAGGGAGGGCUGACCUUGAUCCCUUUAGUGGAACAGCAGAGGGCAUGAUUGUGGAUCCAUUACGAGCAGGCUUCCCUCGUUCUGGCUUUGACCCUUCAAGUGGCAUACCUGGAGUCCUCCCUCCGGGUGCUGUGCCCCCUGGUGCUCGCUUUGACCCUUUUGGACCAGUUGGCAGACAUAGAGCUGGAGUAUGGUGUUCCCUUUGCUAUUGAGGUGUGUGGUGUCAUCAUGUCAAGAUCAUAAAAGUUCUGUAAGGCCUUCAGAAAAAAUGUUGUGGAUUCCUAUGAGUCUGGCCAGACCCUGAUCACCUGCCCCGGCCAGGCUAUGAUGACAUGUUCAUGUAGAAGAAUAUAAUUCACAUCGUGGUUCUCCUGGAUGACUUCCUGCUCCCUUAAUGUACUACAUUUCUCAUCUCUCUGCUUUGCAGUGAACAAAGGACAACAACUUCACAUCUUGCUACAUUUAUGUUUUGCUGGUUUUACCCUGUUUUGAAACUAUGUUCUCCACAGGGGCAAUUAAUUUAUGUUAAAUAAAGAGGGAGAUUGAUCCCUACUUAACUGGAAGUGGGAUGUCUUAAUUUUUGCAAAACUUCAUUGUCCCAAGUAAAUUAUACUGUGAUACCAGACUAAGUGCUAUCUAAAAGUACUGGUACUGACAUUUGUCAGUUAUUUAUGGGGUAAGCAUCAGCAGAUGUAAUGGAAAUCAAUGAGAGCAAUGGCCUUUCUCAUGUUUAGUCUAAGCAGUGUUAGUCAGAGAAAUAAAGAUGUUCAGGAGCAUCCGGCACAUGAUUCUGCAAGUCCUGUACUUACAUCUUUAUCCUGGAGACAUAGUUUAAUUUCAGGGAAUUUACCAACAUUCAGUAAAAGUCAUGAAGCCCGUAGAGUGACAAAAUGUCUUAUAAUAGUAUAUGUAGAUCUGUAAUAUUAUUUGGAAAUAGAAUAUUAUCACUUCUCGGAUUCUUUUAAGAACCUUUAUGAGCAAGAUUUAACCUCUGUUGCUGGUAGCCAAAAAAUGGGGGUACCUGAGUUUAGCACUUAAUGCAUUUUGAAGACGAUAUUUGUGACUAAAUGUGGAACUUUGUGUUUGUUUUCUUCAAUAAAGCUGAUGCACUUUA